UAUCAUGUCUUCCUGAAGGACCAGUCUCAGGCAGGCACUAGGGUUGCAAUCGCAAGGUCAGGAAGUAGGCCAGCUCCAAACUGCACAUGAGCAGUGAUAGAAGCUCGCUGAUGCUUAAUGUUGACUUGCUAAUCUUCGGAAGGCUUUGAUUCACAUGGAUUAUCUCCCUGGAUAACUGACCAAUUCUUUUCAUCAGAGUGUCCCUAAAGAGACAGGAAGAUAGAACAGAGCUUCUGGGGUUUUCUCCCAGCCUAUGUCCAGACCCCUCCCCCUCUGGGUCCCUUUCUUCUGAACCAUCGCUUUAGUUGCCUUCCUUUCGUAAAAGAUUUGGGUGACUUGGAGGUUAUCUUAUUCCUUUGGAGAAUUAUGUAUGCCCAAACAGUCAAAUAAUUGAGUAAAUAAUAAUAAUAAUAAUAAUAAUAAUAAUAAUAAUAAUAAUAAUAAUAAGCCUGUUGGGUAAUGAGAAUCUCAAUACAUGUUAGCUGCAAUAAAAUUAGCUGAUUUAAAUCCAAAAUAGGUGAUAAUGUUAAUUUUUAUAAUCACCAUUUGCUGAGUAUUUUUUGGUCAGGCUAUUUACUAGAAAUUUCCAUAAACAUUAUCUCUACUAAACCACACAACCAUUCUGAAAAAAAAUGGAUUUUUUUUGCCCCCAUUUUCCAUAAGAAGUAACAGAAAUUCAAGUAUUUAGUUAAGAGGAUUUCCCAAAUCAAAGUGGUCGGAUGUUCCAAAGUGGGGAUCAAAUAGGGGGUGUUCUGACUUAAGAGUACUUGUUGGGUGGUGCUGGCACAUGCUCCAUGGGGUGACACUCUUAAUGGAUAAAAAUUGAGGUUCUGAAAGAAUGGAGACAGCUGAAUAAACCAUGCUUUGUCUGCACAAGGGGAGUCUGUAGAAACCCAACAGCGGAAAAGACUCUGCCGCCUGGGACAGACGUCCCUGAAAGAAAGAGGUUCUACCUGUGUGUGAGGAGAAAGGGCUUUGCUUAGUUUUUCCAGAAGGAAAUUCC
rnacentral:lncRNA from 1 species